UUCUCGGGCUCCUUGUGACUUUCGGUCGAACCUGUUUGCAGAUGCAUCAGCCUGCGAGGGCCCCUCUUUGGCCCCCUGGCACCAUCAUCUCCUGGCUCUGUGGAGCUGCAUUCAGGGGGCAGCCCGCCUCUUCCAUGCCCCGCAACCUCAGAAGCCUUCUUGAAGCUCCCCAAGGCAGAGUCAGCAUCCAGUGUCCUGGGGAUCUCUGGGGUGCAGCUCCCUCUCCUCUGUAGGGAAGAGAUGAAGAGAUCUAAAUUCAGAGACAUCAAGGAUCUGGUCUAAGGUCAUAUGGCUCAGAAGAAGCAAGGAUAAAAACCCAGUCAUAGAAUAUGGAGCACUCACCCCAUGGUACAACUGGUCCAGGACUGAUCAAUCUUCAUGUGAGA